CCAGGCAUCCCCGCGACGCCAGCGGCGGCACCGUCCACCGCCAGCAUCUCCCGCUUCACCUCCUCCUCGACGCCGCCGCCGGCUGGCGAGCCGAUGAAGUCCCUGGCGAAGGCGUCGUCGUAGUCCAUCCCAGGCGCCUGCAGGUAGUCGGCGAAGAGCCACGGCGUCUGCGGCUGCUGCAUCUGCAUCAUGGGCGACGGCGAGGCGGCGGCGUCGGCCGGCCGCUGCGCGAGCAGCGAGGCCAGCUCGUCGUGGAACUGGAAGUCGCCCGAGUGGUGGCGCCAGUGCUGGUCAUGGCUCGCCCCCGACAUCGACGGAUGGAUGGGUAGAUCGGAGCUGGAGCUAGCUAGCUCGAUCAAUCGAAUCGAAGCUCCGGUUCUUGCCGUAGUAGCGAAUGUGUAGAGGCCGCGGCGGCAGUGGUGCAGUAGGGGGGAAGGCAGGGCAGGGCCAAGGAGAGGAGGGAGAGGGAGAGGGAGAGGGAGAGGAAGCUUAGCUAGCACGACGAGUAGCUACAAGGCUGGGCUAGUGUGUGAUUGUGUGUGGGGAAAGAUGGAUGGAUGGAUGGAGGAAUAGGUGGUUGGGUGGGUGCAUGGGUCAAGGGCUUCUCCAUCUUUAUUUCUUUCUUUCUUUCUUCUUGCGGGGAAAGUGCCAGCUUCUCCCUGCGGAAUGGUUCUACUUAACUACUAUUCAUUUACUUCGUCAAUCGGAGAUGUAGUAUAUAUACUCCAUCAGUAGUACGUAUAAACAACAUGCACACUUGCUCGGAUUUUUUGGUCUCAUCACAUCACAUGCAAGCAUGUCUAGGUCUUUU
rnacentral:lncRNA from 1 species